UACGUAGGUGGCAAGCGUUAUCCGGAAUUAUUGGGCGUAAAGCGCGCGCAGGCGGUGCGGCAAGUUGGGAGUGAAAUCUCUGGGCUUAACCCAGAGGCUGCUUCCAAAACUGCUGUGCUUGAGUGUGGGAGAGGCGCGUGGAAUUGCAGGUGUAGCGGUGAAAUGCGUAGAUAUCUGCAGGAACACCCGUGGCGAAAGCGGCGCGCUGGACCACUACUGACGCUGAGGAACGAAAGCUAGGGGAGCAAACAGG
rnacentral:rRNA from 1 species